rnacentral:lncRNA from 1 species
AAUAUAAAACGUAACAUCUAGGAUUUUUUAGGCCCGGUCCAAAAAGGUCGGACCAGGCAAAAAGAGUUAGAACCCGGCCCGAACCCAGGGUUCUGACAACAAUAGUUGAUAAUAUUUGAAUUUAUUACUAAAUCAGGCAAUAACGAGCAAGGAGGACAGAUUUGUAACUGCGUUGCUUAUUAGAUUCAAUAACUAAAUAGGGAUGCAAGGAAAUUAAAAUUCACAGCAAUCUCCAUUAUUUUAAAGUAUUUUUGUAAUAAUAAUAAUUUAGCAUAAUGAUUUGCAUUUUUAUUUCUCCCUUUGAUUUUGAUGUCGCCCUCACAUGCAAAACUCUUAGAAAAUAUACAUGUCACGUACAAGCACAUGCUUAAAAUGUAUAAUACACAUUUAAAAAAGUCAUAAUUAUUUUGCAUUUCCAUGAACUUUCGAGAGACUCUAAUGAGUCAAAUAAAAUGUCAACACACACACACACACACACACACAUAUUAUGUACAUAUAUUGCUGUUUUUCCUUUCCUUUUUAACUUUGCUUAGGUUGUUUAGUUUUUAAAAUUUUAUCGGCAAAGAUGUAUAAAUAAUUUUAAGACAUUAGAGGAAACUAAUAAAACAAACUUUUGUUCAUAAAUUUUGGAUAAACCCUCAUAAAUUGAUUAUUUUUAAAUUACUCAUAACUUUAAAUAAUAGAGAUCGAUCGAACACGUUGAUGUCCUUAUGUGUUACUGAUAACCCAUAAAACAUAUGCCACAUGCAAAGAUCAUAUGAGGCCAUUGCUUCUAAGAUUAUUGCGGACAUGACCAACAUACAUCCCUUUCCAUACUACUGGAAAGGGAUGAGCAAACAUGCCCUGAAUUUUUUCUUUUUUUUCUUUUUUGUCUUCGAUUUGCAAUGGCUAUUGCUACGUUAAUCUCUACUUCAUCAUCUGAUGAUGAUGAAUCUGACAGCAUCUCUAUCUUAAAAUUGCUAGCGAUGAGCAAACAUUCUAAUAAAUUAGUUAAUAGGUGGAAGGAUGACUGGAUGAGCAGCUCCAUUCACAAACAUUCUAAUUUAUAGAUUUAAAAAUACUUAGAAAAAAACAAAGGUCAAUUUAAAUUUGUUGAAAAUAGAGUGUAAUUAAGUUUGUUGGAGUGGAAGAAAAAAAGGAGAAUAAUUAAAAUAAUUGGAG